GGAUUUUCUGGCUUAGCCAUGUCCUCUAAGCUCCUCACAUUUGAUAGAGAGGUGAAUGAUUGUGAUUUCCCAUUGUAAUGUUUUGACAAACCUCUCUUGAAGGGAAGUUCUUGUAGAAGAGUGGACAUAUUUUGCAAAGCUCCUUUUGUGUGUUCAUCAUGACUUAUUGAAUCACUACAAGAAGAAUUCGGAGAAGUUGGAUCCGAAGAAUCCCCUUCUCCUCCUCCUUCUUCGUCAAACAACUCCGAAUCAG
rnacentral:misc_RNA from 1 species